UUGUGGUUAAAAAGCUCGUAGUUGGAUCUCAACAGCCUUGAAGCGGUUAACUUUGUAGUUUUACUGCUUUAUAGGCUGUGCUUUUGCUGGAGGUUUAGGGGUGCUCUUGAUAGAGUGUCUCUGGAUGCCAGCAGGUUUACUUUGAAAAAAUUAGAGUGCUCAAAGCAGGCUAAAAUGCCUGAAUAUUCGUGCAUGGAAUAAUAGAAUAGGAUGUCGAUCCUAUCUUGUUGGUUUUCGGGACUCGACAUAAUGAUAAAUAGGGACAGUCGGGGGCAUUUGUAUUCAAACGACAGAGGUGAAAUUCUUGGACCGUUUGAA
rnacentral:rRNA from 1 species